UGUGCAGCUUUCCUGGCUGGAGCAGAACUGGACCCUUGUUGGUGUGGGGUGUUUUGGGUUUUUUAAAAAUUUUUAUCAUUACUUGCCCUUGUAUCCCCGCCUUCUUUUUUGCAGGAAACAUUUUGGUUUUUUCUACACACCAAGUUUCUGUCUCCAGAUCUCUUCGGCUCAGUUCCUGGGGAGCUUGACACCCCAGAGCCCCUUGGGAGAACCAUCUACUGGACGGAGAAGAUGGAUGACAAUGACCUGCUUCUCCAGUUCAGCCACCAAGUGCUGUCCACAUCUCAAUCUCUGUUCACAACCAAUAACCAGGGGGGUGGAGAACAGCCCACCACCAGUUUCGACUAUGAUUACAGCAUACCCUGCCAUAAAACGGAUGUGAGGCAGAACGCGGUCAGGCUCCUGCCCCCGCUCUACUCCCUCGUGUUCAUCUUCGGCUUCCCGGGCAACCUGCUGGUCGUCCUCAUCCUCAUCAACUGCAAAAAGCUGAAGAGCAUGACUGACAUCUACCUGCUCAACCUGGCCAUCUCCGACCUGCUCUUCCUCCUCACCUUCCCCUUCUGGGCCCACUAUGUGGCCAACGGGUGGGUCUUUGGGGAUAUGAUGUGUAAGACAGUCACAGCGUUCUAUCACAUGGGUUACUUUGCUGGAAACUUCUUCAUCAUCCUCCUGACUAUCGAUAGGUACCUGGCUAUUGUCCAUGCUGUGUUUGCAUUGAAGGCCAGGACGGUCACCUUUGGGGUGGUGACAAGCCUGGUCACCUGGGUGCUGGCCGUGGUUGCCUCUCUCCCAGGGUGUGUCUUCAACAAUUUGCAGUGGGAAGACACUUUUUACGCCUGCCGCCCUUCUUUCCAACCAGGAUGGAAGAACUUCCAUGCAAUCAUGAGGAGCAUCUUGGGCCUGGUCUUGCCCCUGCUUGUCAUGAUCAUCUGCUACUCAGCCAUCCUCAAGACCCUGUUCCGCUGUCGCAACGAAAAAAAGAAGCACAAGGCCGUGAAGCUCAUUUUCGUGAUCAUGAUUGUGUACUUUCUUUUCUGGGCCCCCAACAACAUCGUCCUCCUCCUGAGCACCUUCCCGGAUUCCUUCGGCCUGAAUACCUGUAAGACCUCCAGUCAGCUGGACCAAGCCAUGCAGGUGACAGAGACCCUGGGGUGGACGCACUGCUGCGUCAACCCCAUCAUCUACGCUUUCGUCGGGGAGAAGUUCAGAAGGUAUCUCUCCGUGUUUUUCCGGAAGCACAUCGCCAAACACCUCUGCAAACAGUGCCCAGUCUUCUACAGGGAGACCGCAGAUCGAGUGAGCUCCACGUACACGCCUUCCACGGGCGAGCAGGAGGUCUCCGCCGGCUUGUAAAUGAGGAGCAGUUUGCCUCUGACCCUUAAGGGGGACGGAAAUCUGUACAUGAUCAUAAGCUUCAGGUCUGUCAAAGAAAGGAGGCGGGUGACCCUCUCAGGCCAGCGUGCAGGAGGCUCAGGGGGGGUGCACCCAAACAGACUUUGUCGCUCCCUGGGCAGCCAACAUGCCCUCAGGGAAUGUUCCAGAACAGCUGUGGGGGGAGACAGUGACUCUCCAAAGAGCUCCUCACAGUUCGUGGGAAACUCCGCCCCUGGAAAAUGGCUCUGUGCUUCUCUCAGCCCCCACCUGCACCUCACUCGCUCCCCAGUGCUCUCUCUCUGGUCAGGGGCACAGCUGGAGGCGGGGAGGGGUGUGGGGGGGGGCAGCCCUGCCAGGAGGAGGGAGCUUGGGGUAUGGCUGUGCCUAGAUAAGGAGGAGGGAAGGACGUCAGCAGCGCCGUCCGCAGCCUCGCCUCCCACCAGAAUUACCUGGAAGGUCCCACGUGGUCCCAGCAAGCAUGGAAAGCGUAAGAACUCUCCGAGAGAGCUUUACUUGGGUCCAAUCGUCCUCUUCGGUGCAAGCGCAGGACACACUUUUGCUUCCUUAGGAUUUAUCUGGGAUAACCACGCACCCUACAUCUGAAACCUAGCAAAUAUCGUGCCCCCUUGUUCACACGUGUCUCAUGCCAUAUCCCCCUAAGUAAAAAUGUAGGAACAUUUUUUUGUUCAUAAAAUAUGCGUAAUCUAUAAUGAGAGGAAAAAAUAAGAGGCCUCGUUGGGUGUUACGGGGGGGGGGUGGCGGUGUGGGGGUUGCAGGUAAUGAUGAUAAGAAGGAGUGAAGGGUUAGUUUCUGCAUCAGGAGCUCAGGGCUAUAACAGCAGCUCAGGAAGCUGUGUGAGGCCGCUGCCCCAGCAGUGUUUCCAGAAUCAGCUAGGAGCAGAGGCCAGGAAGGUGCAUCAGAACCCACAAGGGUCUCGUGCCUUUGCAUCUUGCUGCCUGCCCCUGCUUCCCACUGCCUUGGCCCCAUCUGCCGCCCUCCCCCUUCAUCCCCUCACUCUUGCCCAGAGGAUUGCCCCACCCCAGAAGCGGUAUGUGGAGGUUCAGGAGAAUAGCCUCGGGGAAUAGAAAAUGGUGGAACCAGAAGCCCUCAGCGGGCCCGGAAGAUGGGGAGCAGCAGGUAUGGGCCCUGGGGUGUGCCUCCGGGACAGAGGGGCCCAGAGGACAUGACAGAGGCCUCACCUCUGAGACAGGUGGCCUGUGAAUGUCGGGAUCUAACUGGCCAGGCAGGGCAAAGACUCCUGACAGGCUGGGGAAAAGUGUUUUCCAAACUAUCUUCCUGCACCUCAUUUUUGGAUACAGGCAUAGAAUUCAGAUGUAUAAAAAGAGAUUAAUAGUAAUAAUAAAGUAAAAAUAAAAGUAAACCUGAAACUACAACUUGUAAAUGGGGCAGAGUCAUUUUAAGAGUUGUUAUUAGGUCAAGUCCGAAAAUACUGUGUUAGUCACAGAAUUUGAGCUUCGGUUUUGACUUGAAAAUGUUCACGCAUGCCGUGUGUUUGGGACAGUACCAAUGCAGCAUAAAUAGUUGUCGUCAAGGAGUCAGGUGGCUGCGAUCAAAGGGUGCUGGUUUUGGUGUCUAAGUAGUGCCAUGUGGCUCACAGCACACACUCCAUAACUGCCAUCUCCACGGUGUCUUUACCCUCCCAGAUUUGCUGCCACGCAUCUAUUUUGUGUCCCUACGCAUCCCAGGACGUCAUGGGUUUAAUCAUGUUUGGAUGCUUCGGUGCUUUGUAGAUAUCCUCAGGGAAGCUCGAACUCUCCGGUUUGGAUUGGGGGCUCCUAUAUUGCAUGGACCCCUCAUCAAACGUUGAAACCCAAUUUGUAAAGGAGGGGAGUUGGGUCACUUACGGAAGCAAAGACUUCAUCUUGGUGGAGCCACGGUAAGAACAGACAUGCGUGUCACCCAGUGGAUUUCUGAUCUGACGCAAGCAGGAAACACGGGGCUUUUGGAACCUGGCAACUCGGGAGCUGGAAGUUACUAUGGUUCUACUUUCCUGCUUCAUGGCCAGAGAAGGCUCCAGAAAGAAGUAGGGUGAGGAGACCAUGCUUCAUCUUCAGCCUCUGGCAACCACCACGUCCAUGAUUCUAUUUUAGACACCUCGUGGAAGUCGAAGCAUGGAGCAUUCAUCCUUCUAUGCCAGGCUUAUUUCACUCAGUAUCAUGCCCCCAAGCUUCAUCGAAGUUGCCGUACGUGGCAGGACAUCCUUCUCUGGAAAGUGGACUAAUCGCCCACUGUAUGUAUAUACUAUAUUUUCUCUACACAUUUAUCAAUGCGCACAAAAUUUUGGUGAUACAAGGUGAUAAAUUCCAAGCAUCUGCUUUACCACAAUGUACCUGUCCAUUCAAUACUGUAUUAUGCACUUAAAAAUCUGGUAAGCGCGUAGAUGGCAUGUGAAGCCUCCUAACCAUAAAAAUAAUAAGCCUUACAUUGUCUUAGUUUUCACUUUUCACUGCUUCCUCUGUGCGAUUACACAUUCUUGUCCUUGCCGUGUGACUUACAGUGUGCCUACAGGUGGCCUCCACGACCCGCUCCCCAGGUGGCUCGGCCACUAAAGCGUGAGCAGCCACACUGUAGUAAAGCAGUGGAGUGGCAAAGCAGGUGGGCUGAGCCUCUGGCGGUCCCAGCUCAGCCACCAGAAGGUCCAUCCCAGGCCACACCAGGUCAAGAAGACACAGAGAACAGAGCCAGAACCCCAGGCACACGGCAGCCACGUGUCACAGGGGCAGAGGGUCCAUGCUCGCCGUUUUAAGCCAUUGGGCAAUGGAGACUGUUUGCUUAGAAGCACAAAAAGCUAAUGAGUGCAUAUG